CCUACGGGAGGCAGCAGUGGGGAAUAUUGCGCAAUGGGCGAAAGCCUGACGCAGCGACGCCGCGUGAGGGAUGAAGGUCUUCGGAUUGUAAACUUCUGUUCUUGUGAAGAAUAAUGAACGGUGCUAAGGAGCAAGCCAACGCCAACUACGUGCCAGCAGACGCGGUAAUACGUAGGUGGAAAGCGUUGUCCGGAAUUACUGGGUGUAAAGGGAGCGCAGGCGGGAAGCCAAGUCAGCUGUGAAAACUACGGGCUUAACUUGUAGACUGCAGUUGAAACUGGUUUUCUUGAGUGAAGUAGAGGUUGGCGGAAUUCCGAGUGUAGCGGUGAAAUGCGUAGAUAUUCGGAGGAACACCGGUGGCGAAGGCGGCCAACUGGGCUUUAACUGACGCUGAGGCUCGAAAGUGUGGGGAGCAAACAGGAUUAGAUACCCCAGUAGUC
rnacentral:rRNA from 1 species